rnacentral:lncRNA from 1 species
GGGUUAAAGAUGAAGUCGCCAGAUGUAGACUCAGGCGACCUAGUGAUUGGAGAUCGCCAGAGCAAGCACAUCGCCAGAGAUGAAGGUGGUGCAGAUUAUGAAGGCGGCCGGCGAGACCACAGGGAAGGUGUAUGAAGGCACCCUAACUCGCCAGUUCCAGUAGAGAUCGCACUCCCAAGUUAGCUAUGUACUGGGCAGCACCAUGCAUAAAUAACUUAGCCAAAAAGAGAGUCAGAAGCAGCGCCCAAGUCAAGGAGGCUCCAGAUGAUGGCACGUGUACAGUUGGAUGCGAGCCACGUGUCCAAGUCUGUAACUGCCAGGAGAGAGAAAGUAACCAGGUAUAUAAGAGUUCUCAACGAACUUUCUGAGGUACGCACGUUCAGAAUACAUUCUUUACGCUUGCGAGUUAU